rnacentral:rRNA from 1 species
GAGUUUGAUCAUGGCUCAGAACGAACGCUGGCGGCAUGCCUAACACAUGCAAGUCGAACGAGACCUUCGGGUCUAGUGGCGCACGGGUGCGUAACGCGUGGGAAUCUGCCCUUGGGUUCGGAAUAACAGUUAGAAAUGACUGCUAAUACCGGAUGAUGACUUCGGUCCAAAGAUUUAUCGCCCAGGGAUGAGCCCGCGUCGGAUUAGCUAGUUGGUAGGGUAAAAGCCUACCAAGGCGACGAUCCGUAGCUGGUCUGAGAGGAUGAUCAGCCACACUGGGACUGAGACACGGCCCAGACUCCUACGGGAGGCAGCAGUGGGGAAUAUUGGACAAUGGGCGAAAGCCUGAUCCAGCAAUGCCGCGUGAGUGAUGAAGGCCUUAGGGUUGUAAAGCUCUUUUACCCGGGAUGAUAAUGACAGUACCGGGAGAAUAAGCCCCGGCUAACUCCGUGCCAGCCGCCG